rnacentral:lncRNA from 1 species
CUCAGAGGGAGAGAAUGAGGGAGAAAGGGAGGGAGAUGUCCAGGGCCAGACAGUCAGACAUGAAAUUGGACAUAUAGAAUGAAAGGUUAAAAGCCCCGAGGCAAAACAUAAAGAGAAACAGCCUUAGUGUGAGCAGACUGGCACCAAGAUGGGCUUGAGGACAUCUGCUGAGCGAAUCAUCGGAGAGAAGGUCACAUGUUUGGAUCUCGUUUCAAGACUCACUAAGGAGGAUCCAGCUCCAUUUUGAAACCCCGGUCCCUGAGUUGGAGGCACCAAGUCCUCAAGCCAUGUGAGAUCCUAACCCAGACUUUGUCACCCCAUCAGCUCUGCUCCCUGAUCAAGCUCCAUUCUCCAGCAAGCAUCCCGAGCUUUUGGACAUCUUAGUUCCUCCCCCAGCCUUCACCAAACUCCUCCCUCAGCCUGGAUGCCCCUUCCUCUGCUCCCGAAGUCUUUCUGGAUGCCUGGUUUAUAACUACCACCAUUGGCAAACACCUGUAUUCACUAACCAGCCUGGCUGUGGCCAACAGUGGGGAUUAGGCUGUGAGCCUUUCUAGAUGGUCAGUGUCCCCAACAUCAAGGUUUCCCACCCUCCUUUCUAAUUGCACUCCAGCUUGGGGCAUUUUUCGUGUCAGAUGAAAUUCUGAGAAACACACCUAGAGAUGCCAGUGAGAAGAAAGCAAGGCCUGUGGGACUUUAUCCAGGAGGGCAUGGAUGGGAGGGAAGACGGCCUCGAUAGGUGUAGGAGGAGACCUAACCCUGUGAGGGGAACUAUAACUGAAGGAGUCAUGUCUGACUUUGAAUUUACAGAGCUCCUCCCACCCCCACUUAUCUGUCACCCUCCUCUGUCGGAAGCAGUGCUGUUUGGGGAAAGAAAGGAGGAGGGUAGAGGCUGGGGUCAAAGGACAGAGUGGGGAGCUCACAUCAAUGAUGUUAGCAAGAGAGGAGGAGGAAACUCUCCUGAGGGCACGGGGCUGGGUUCCAUGCAGUCCGUCAGCAGACAGGAAACAUCAGGGCAGGUGCUGAGUCUCCCCCGCCAGGCUCGAUGCCAGGAUCCUGGGCUGCCCCCCACCCCCACCCCGACCCCCACCUGUUCCUCUGUGUUCUUACUCCCUGGCUGGCCUGUGGGGGCAGUACUAGUCCCUGUCUCCUAGGGACUGUUAGGACCCAGUGGCUUAAUUCAGACAAAGUCCUUCCACAGCAGCUCCGAACAGAAGAUCUCUUUGGAAAGAAUAUUUGUUAUGGAAUAAUCCUUUUUGUACACUGUGAAUAUGUGUUGUUCUCAUUGAUUUAAUAAAGGGCUAAAUAGCCAAUAGCCAGGCAGAAAGAGGUUAGGCAGGACUUGCAGACAGGAAGAGAGCAUGGGGGAUGAAGAAUGGCGGAGUUGCCAGGAGGGGGCAGGGGAGAAGCCAGCCAGAGUCAGACAUACAAAAUGGGAUAAAGGUGAGAAAGCCACGAGGCAGAAAGUAAAUUAAUAGAAAUGGGUUAGUUUAAGCUAUAAGAG